AUCUAUUACAGCGAUCCGUGGUUAAGCAGAUCACAGCAUACUGCAUCUACCUAGCUAAUGCAAAUAUGAAAUGAAUUUGUGCUGAACAUAAACAGCAUCCUUUCUAGACAAUAAGGACUGAGAACAAUGCAAAGCAACUUCAUGCUAUCUAGAUUUCACGGCACUGAUAGCUGCAAUUCUGUAUACCGUACCAGAUGGGGGCUCACCAACUCCUACGCAUGGGUCAGGAGGAGGCUACAACCCGACACCUACACCAACUUACGGCACUACACCAACACCAACUUACGGCACUACACCGACGCCAUCUUACGGCACUACACCGACGCCAUCUUACGGCACUACACCGACGCCAUCUUAUGGCACUACGCCGACGCCAUCUUACGGCACUACACCGAG
rnacentral:lncRNA from 1 species